UGGGUAACCUGCCUCAAAGAGGGGAAUAGCCUCCCGAAAGGGAGAUUAAUACCGCAUAAUAUGUUUAAGUCGCAUGACUUUAACAUCAAAGGAUUUUCUUUUAGAACUUCCACUUUGAGAUGGACCCGCGGCGCAUUAGCUAGUUGGUGAGGUAACGGCUCACCAAGGCAACGAUGCGUAGCCGACCUGAGAGGGUGAUCGGCCACAUUGGAACUGAGACACGGUCCAGACUCCUAGGAGG
rnacentral:rRNA from 1 species